CUCAGCCUCCCGAGUAGCUGGGACUACAGGCGCCCGCCACUGCGCCCGGCUAAUUUUUUGUAUUUUUAGUAGAGAGGGGGUUUCACCGUGGUCUCGAUCUCCUGACCUCGUGAUCCGCCCGCCUCAGCCUCCCAAAGUGCUGGGAUUACAGGCGUGAGCCACCGCGCCCGGCCAGUUCAAUGGAUUUUAAAAAUUAUUAUUCUCUAGAAAAAAGACCACGAACUUUGGAGUGGACAUCCUGAGACCUGCCUACGAAGACCAUUAGGGUAAAGAAGUCACCCCUUCACCCCAGGACCAGGAAGCCUCCAGGAUGGCAUAAGCGACCAAACAGCUGGGAGCCAAGCACAGUGCAGGGGGCUUGGGGUCGGCGGCCGGAGGCUGGGGACACAGAGGAAUCUGGGGGAUAUUAUGGUUCUGGGAAUGUGGAAUGUAACGUCUCAUCUUCAGCCCAUCUGUGCUACUGAUCAUCUCAUUCCAGAAGCCAUGCCUUCUCUCAGGAGCAGACAGCACAAGACUUUCCUGCCAGAGGCACAGUCCCCAGUGGGAGUAGCAUCCACAUAAGACAGGAUGCAGAGAUGU
rnacentral:lncRNA from 10 species